rnacentral:rRNA from 1 species
UACAGAGGGUGCGAGCGUUGUUCGGAUUCAUUGGGCGUAAAGGGUGCGUAGGUGGCGCCGUAAGUCGGGUGUGAAAUCUCGGGGCUUAACUCCGAAACUGCAUUCGAUACUGCCGUGCUUGAGGACUGGAGAGGAGACUGGAAUUUACGGUGUAGCGGUGAAAUGCGUAGAUAUCGUAAGGAAGACCAGUGGCGAAGGCGGGUCUCUGGACAGUUCCUGACGCUGAGGCACGAAGGUCAGGGGAGCAAACGGG